ACCGGCUAUAAUUUAGCGUACCUUUUGCAUUAUGGGUCAGCUACUCAAUAAGCGUAAGAUAAGUGUAAAACUUACUGAGAUU
rnacentral:rRNA from 1 species